AGGCCUGUAGCUCAGUGGUAGAACACCUGCACUGCUUGCAGAAUGUCCCAGGUUCAAUCCCUGUGUGAUGGCCUG